rnacentral:rRNA from 1 species
AGUGAUACAUCGGAACGUGUCUUCUAGUGGGGGAUAACUGCCCGAAAGGGCAGCUAAUACCGCAUGAGACCUGAGGGUGAAAGCGGGGGAUCGCAAGACCUCGCGCUGGAAGAGCGGCCGAUGUCCGAUUAGCUAGUUGGUGAGGUAAAGGCUCACCAAGGCGACGAUCGGUAGCUGGUCUGAGAGGACGACCAGCCACACUGGGACUGAGACACGGCCCAG